rnacentral:lncRNA from 1 species
GCAAGCAGUCUGCUUCAAAACUGCAGGUUGAUUAAAAAAGAAAAAAAAACCUACAAUGUUCACACUGCAGGAGUAUCUGUUCUUAAAACCAUUUACAAUAAAGAGGAAACAAAAUAAAAAUAUUGAGAAUGAAGUGGAAAAAUAAAGUAUGUGAUAUGGAGAAGUCAAUUUCGUUAAGAGAUCUGAAGAAAGAGAUGAGAGUAGAAAGAGAGCUGUUUGUAAUGGAAUAUCCAAAAACUGCAUGGGGCAUUUGAGCCACUGUGAUCAGGUUGAGGCAGAUGAAUUCAACCUCAAGUGUCAUAAACACCAGGAAACUGGGAGACUGUCACCGAUAUGCUUCUUCCCAGUCAGAACUAUCUUGAUGGGCGGAGAGAGACAUGGUGUUGAUUACAAUUUGAACCUUGACCUUGAAUAUUUAUAAAAGAUCUAGAAGGAUCUGUUUAAAGAAAUUCUUCCCUGUUUACCAUACAUUUCCCUGUCCUUCCUGCUUCCUGUUAUUUGCAUGCAGAUGAUAUCUGUGCGCCAGUGACUUAGAGAGAGAUAUCAAGAAAAACAGUGCUGCUUGGAACCAAGCAAAGCAUAAUUAAAAUGAAUUUUGCCAGAAGUUCUGUAAGAAAAUAUUCUUGUAAUACCUAUGAAUGCUUUCCUUUAGCUUCUCAGAAGCUGGAGCAGAAAGCUCUGAAGGAGAC